UGUUGUAAUUUGUGCUUGUUGCUGUGUUCCAUGUGUUCUGUGGUUACCUGUCUGUCAUGUGUCUUUGUCUCCGCCCCUUCCCUUAUAUGGUCUGCACUUCCUGUCUUGUUAGUUUCCCUCCAUCUCUACUCUCACCUGUUGCUCGUUACUGUCUUGUCCAAUCCUCUGUCUUUCUGUUCAUUGGUCUGUGUAUUUCUACACCCCUCUGUUCCUUUGUCUCUUGUCAGUUCGUCUCUCUCUGUUUGUCCUGUGAGAAUCCUGUUCGUUUGUAGUUGUGAGUUUGUAAGUUGUUAAGUCAAAAUAAAGUGUGUUU